AGCGCACACUUCCAAGAGUACAAUCGGAACGAUGGCACCACGAGAUAGUGAAAUAUCGGUUUGAGUGCAAAAGACGAGAAACGGAUAUUGGUCAUCCUGGAAUAACGUUCAUCCGCCUUGAGUACUAAAAUUACACGCUACAAUGUGACAGACGGUAGAAAGCCUUUAUGGAAACGGUUUUUUUUUUUUUAAGUACAUAAUUUCAGUUUUGUGGCUUCUGGUAAAUUGGCUUCUCUCGUUAGCUCCGAACUGAAUACAGAUAUAGUUUUCAGACCGAAGGCAUUCUGUGAAACAGACUGGCAACGCUCCCGACACCGUAGAAACAAAUUCCAGCGGAGUUGGAACGGUAUGUCUAGGGACGACCGCUGACGAGGCCCGUGAGAAACGUCACCAAAAGAGACUCACUUCAUCUGAUGACACUGUAGCCGGGCGAUGUCGUCAUAUUUGUGGUGGAGGCGUAUGAGUCCUGCCCGGCGCACAAGGUCGGCAGCGGUGCCUCGGAGGGGAUAUCCUCGUAUGCGCCCGGAGAGGUCCGAGAUUUGGUCCAGUAGUCCAGACUCAGCCUUGCGAUCACCUUCUCCCAGAACAACACGAUACUGCACUCGGCAUGGGUGGUCAAAACCUGGAACAUGACCGACCAUUCGCAACUGUAGUGGGACAUAAUUGCACAACGUCUGUUUUCACUUAGAGCGUCUUUACCAUACCUUUGAGGACACUUCGUUGAUUCGGUUUAGCUCGUUAUUAACCUAUAGGAUCUCCAUCUGUAUAUGCACUGUAUGUAUUUUGUUUGAUUAACAAUAAACUCAUUUGAUUGA